rnacentral:rRNA from 1 species
AGCAGCCGCGGUAAUUCCAGCUCCAAUAGCGUAUAUUAAAGUUGUUGCAGUUAAAAAGCUCGUAGUUGAAUUUCGGGAUCAAUUGAUUGGUCAUGCCUACGGUAUGUACUAGUCAUAUUGGUUCUCACCUUCUAAUGAACCUUAAUGUCAUUCACUUGAUGUUUUGGGGAAUUAGGACUGUUACCUUGAAAAAAUUAGAGUGUUUAAAGCAGGCUUACGCUUGAAUACAUUAGCAUGGAAUAGUGAAAUAGGACAUCGCAUUCUAUUUUGUUGGUUUCUAGGAUCGAUGUAAUGAUUAAUAGGGAUAGUUGGGGGCAUUAGUAUUCAAAUUGUCAGAGGUGAAAUUCUUGGAUUUAUUGAAGACUAACUACUGCGAAAGCAUUUGCCAAGGAUGUUUUCAUUAAUCAAGAACGAAAGUUAGGGGAUCGAAGACGAUCAGAUGCCGUCGUAGUCUUAACCAUAAACUAUGCCGACUAGGGAUCGGAUGAUGUAAUUUUUAAUGACU